AAUAAACCAAUCUUUUAUCUUUUAUUUACAAUGUUUGACUGUUCGUCUUAUCUAAAAAAAAUUUACAAUUAACAUUUUUGUUUUUGUUAGAUGAUAAAUCAUGAAUAGUACUUUACGCGUGACUAAUUUCUUUUUAAUUUCUUGAAAAUAUUUUAAAUAAGACAGAUGAUUAAACACUGGACAUAGAAACCGAAAGUUUGUCUUAUU
rnacentral:pre_miRNA from 1 species